rnacentral:rRNA from 1 species
GGCGGCAUGCCUAACACAUGCAAGUCGAACGAAGGCUUCGGCCUUAGUGGCGCACGGGUGCGUAACGCGUGGGAAUCUGCCCCUCGGUUCGGAAUAACAGCGAGAAAUUGCCGCUAAUACCGGAUAAUGACGUAAGUCCAAAGAUUUAUCGCCGAGGGAUGAGCCCGCGUAGGAUUAGCUAGUUGGUGUGGUAAAAGCGCACCAAGGCGACGAUCCUUAGCUGGUCUGAGAGGAUGAUCAGCCACACUGGGACUGAGACACGGCCCAGACUCCUACGGGAGGCAGCAGUGGGGAAUAUUGGACAAUGGGCGAAAGCCUGAUCCAGCAAUGCCGCGUGAGUGAUGAAGGCCUUAGGGUUGUAAAGCUCUUUUACCCGGGAUGAUGAUGACAGUACCGGGAGAAUAAGCUCCGGCUAACUCCGUGCCAGCAGCCGCGGUAAUACGGAGGGAGCUAGCGUUAUUCGGAAUUACUGGGCGUAAAGCGCACGUA